CACGCCACGCCACGCCAGUCCCCGAGUGUGCACCAUUUAGCCCCUUAAGCCCCGCCCCCUCCCGCUGCAUGGCACCUACGUCACUCGCUGCUCGCGCUGCCAGGGACGUGCACGGGCCAAGUGCGCAGCUCCGUGGACGCCCCCGCGACAAGCUUAGCCCACGACAGCCAGCAUGGCCGCAGGAGACCGAGGGAACGCGCCGAGCCCCGGCGGCCGUCAGGCGGACACCGUGUCUGCGUCACAGCCGUAGCCCCGCGACCUGCGCUCGAUCCACGGGGGUCUUCUAGGACGACGCCAGUAGGUGGAUUAUAAAGCCAUGGAAGUAACCGACGCAGCAUCACCCACCACCACCACCACCCAGAAAGCUCCGCCUCCCUGUCACGGCGGCCACUCCCACGGUCUCCUGGAGUGGCGUCGGCGGGUCCGGUCGGAGUACAUGCGCCUUCGCCAGUUGAAGCGCUUUAAGAAAGCCGAGCAGGUCAAGGGCGUCUUUGUGGCCAACCGGCAAAAGAUUGAGGAGCAGACCAACGUCCUGAAUGAAGAAUGGUCCAAGCUCAGGAUCCAGUCCGUCCCCUUGUCGACUUCGAGUGGACCUACGGCAAUUAAGAAGAUGUGCACCGUGGAGUCUGGCUUCCCAGGAUUCAAAGUUCAAGCCGUCGCCAUGAAGGCUUUGUCCACUGUGGCGGCCAUCCCCUUCAUGUACUCCUGGUCGCCUCUGCAGCACAACUUUAUGGUGGAGGAUGAGACAUUUCUGCACAACAUUCCUUACAUGGGUGACGAGGUGCUGGAACAGGACGAGGCCUUCCUGGAAGAGUUGAUUGACAACUACGAUGGUGUCCAUGGCGACAGAGAGGGGGGAUUCAUUAGCGACGAGAUCUUUAAGGAGCUGGUGGAGGCCCUCAGCCAGUACUCCGACCACGAGGAUGACGACAAGGAGGAAGCGGCGCCCGACGGGCCGAUAAAGAAGGAGGACGAACGAGCCAUGACGCGCAGCUCGGCGGAAGGUUCUGAGGAGACCAAACCGCCGUUCGUCAGGAGGAAGAGGAGGGUCACUGUUGAGGUGCGGGACCCGUCCAGCUGCAAGAAGAUCCCCAGCGACAAGAUCUUCACAGCCAUCGCCUCCAUGUUUCCGUACAAGGGCACCACGGAGGAACUGAAGGAAAAGUACAAAGACCUCCUGGAGCCCCCGAGCCCGGUCAAGCUGCCCCCUCUGUGUACCCCCAGCCUGGACGGGCCCUUCGCAAAGUCUGUGCAGAGGGAGCAGUCGCUGCACUCCUUCCACACGCUCUUCUGCAGGCGAUGCUUCAAAUACGACUGCUUCCUGCACCCUUUCCACGCGACACCCAACAUGUACAAGAGGAAGAGCAAAGAGAUCCGGAGGGAGACGGAGCCGUGCGGUGUCGACUGCUUCCUGUUGCAGAAAGGGGCUAAAGAGUUUGUGGAUCAGAACAUGCUGCGCUCUCAGAGGUUCCGGAAGAGGCGCAGGCAGCACCAGCAACAACAACAACAGCAACAACAACAGCAGCAGCAACAACAGCAGCAGCAGCAGAAUCCCGCCAGCUCAAGCUGCCCCGGAUCGUCGGUUUCUGCCGAGGAGAGCAAAGAUGGAGAGAGUGACGGUGAGACUUCGUCCUCCUCAGAGGGCAAUUCGCGUUGUCAAACUCCAACCAAGCUGCACCCAGUCGAGGAUGAAGGUGAUCAGCAUCAACAACAACAGCAGCAUCAGCAUCAACAACAACAGCAGCAGGCAACGUGCUGUGUGGCUGAGUGGAGCGGUGCGGAGGAGUCUCUCUUCAGGGUGCUGCACGGCACCUACUUCAACAACUUCUGCUCCAUCGCCCGCCUCAUCGGCACCAAGAACUGCAAGGAGGUAUACGAGUUUGCUGCAAAGGAGGUCCUCCUCCAUCGCGUGCCGCUGGAGGAUGGAGGCAUCUCUCCGCAAAAGAAGAAGAGGAAACACAGGUUAUGGGCCAAGAUCCAGCUAAAAAAAGAUAACUCGUCCAAUCAGGUGUACAACUACCAGCCCUGUGACCACCCGGACCACCCGUGUGACAGCACCUGCCCGUGUGUGAUAACGCAGAAUUUCUGCGAGAAGUUCUGCCAGUGUGAACACGAGUGUCAGAACCGCUUCCCGGGCUGCAGGUGUAAGACACAGUGCAACACCAAGCAGUGUCCUUGCUACUUGGCAGUCAGGGAGUGCGACCCGGAUCUGUGCAUGACCUGCGGCGCGGCGGACCACUGGGAUAGCAAAGGGGUCUCGUGCAAGAAUUGCAGCAUCCAGAGGGGUCUCAAAAAGCACCUUCUGCUGGCGCCGUCGGAUAUCGCUGGUUGGGGCACCUUCAUCAAACAGCCCGUGCAGAAGAAUGAGUUCAUCUCCGAGUAUUGCGGUGAGCUCAUCUCCCAGGACGAGGCGGACCGGCGAGGCAGAAUUUACGACAAGUACAUGUCCAGCUUCCUGUUCAACCUGAACAAUGACUUUGUGGUGGACGCCACGAGGAAGGGCAACAAAAUCCGCUUCGCCAAUCACUCGGUCAAUCCCAACUGCUACGCCAAAGUGGUGAUGGUAAACGGAGACCACCGCAUCGGAAUCUUUGCCAAGCGGGCUAUCAUGCAGGGGGAGGAGCUCUUCUUUGACUACAGCUCCAGAGUGCCACUAGGGCGGCGCUAAAGAGCCGCAUGCGGCUCCAGAUCCGCGGGUUGCCAACCCCUGGUCUAUACUCUACUGCCAUUAACAUAAUGAUACAGCCAGGCCGACGCCCUCAAAUAUGUGGGCAUCGAGAGAGAGGUGGACAUGUCUUAGCCCCGCCCACAACCUCCCAUCCCCGAAACUCCUCCAUCCCUCUCUGCAGCAUCGCACGUCAUCUCUCUCCUCGCUGCUGCACUUCCAAAAAUAGACAGCCCCCCCCCACCUCCGUCCCUGCUUGUUUUGCAGGUGCACCCCCCCCCCCAACCCCCUGCAGGCAAAGCUCCGCCUCCAGCAGUAUGUAUACGCAACGCUUCUCAAUAUACUAUUAGUCCGUGUUGCUGAAGGUUCUUCUUUCUCUUCAUUUAAGCAAAGAUGCCGCAGCGUUCCAGUGUGUAGUUUUGUUACAGCGCUCUUAGACUUUAAAGCUCACGUUCUAUUCCUCCAGCUUCUACUAGCAAGCAUGCACGCAACCGUCUUUCAAGAUGCAUAAACUCGUUUAGUUCACAGCAGGUCAAAGUCACACCUCUAUGGUAAAAAGCGUUGUACAUUUGCUUCGUUGUCCUGCAGCAAAUAUGUAAUAGGCAAGAAACCGACUGACUGAAUGUAACCUGUAGACUGCGACCACCAAGAGAUCUCUCCUUAUUGUACUUUGUUUUGGUGUUUUUUUUUUUUAUUAAAAUAUUUACCCGUCGAUUUGGUACAUAUUUAGUUGACAGGCAAAUUAACAAAGCUAAUGUCUUCCUUUGGAAAAGUAUAUAAGGUGCCAGAAUGGUCCCAUGCUAAUUAAAAGGGGUGUUAGGGCCACGGUGAAAAUAAUAAAAAAUGUGUGAUAUUUAGGGAAUAAAGCUGUAUUUCUUUGAGAAAAUUCUGAAUUUUACUCCAACUAAAGUUGCAAUUUUGGAGGAAUAAUGUUGUCAUUCUCGGAGAAUAAAAACUGCAAUACUAGUGGAAAAAAGGGUAAUUUAAAGUCAAAAUUUUACAAGAAAAUUCAUAUUUUCACUACUUAAAAGACCAAAUUCUGAUGAAAAAAAAGCGAUUCUGUCAUUAUUUUACAUAAUAUUUUUUUGUUUGUUUUCAAAGUAAUUUUACUGUCAGUUUUCUUAAUAUAAACAUGUACACAUUUAAUAAAAUAAAUGAAUUAAUAAAUAAAUAAAAUGUGAAAAUAAAUAUAAUGAAUAAAGAAGGUUUUUUUACACAGAUUAUAAUGUGUAAAAAUAAAAAAUACAUACAAAAAGGCUUAUCAAUUAUGCCAAAACAGAUACUUCCAUAAAAUGUUACCUAAAUUGUACGGAAAAAAUCAUAAUUGUAUUUAAAUAAUCAAGGUGUAAUUUUACUUACCAAAAAAAGGCCUAAUAUAACAAAGGGAAAGUCGCUUUAUCUUUAUAGGUGCCAAAAUGGUCCCAUGCUAAUUAAAAGGAGUAUUAGGGCAACGGUGAAAAUAAUAAAAAAAUGUGUAAUAUUUAGGGAAUAAAGCUGUAUUUCUACGAGAAAAUUUAGAAUUUUACUCCAACUAAAGUUGCAAUUUUGGUGGAAUAAAGUUGUCAUUCUCGGACAAUAAAAAAACUGCAAUACUAGUAGAAUAAAGGGGAAUUUAAAGUCAAAAUUUUACAAGAAAAUUUAUUUUAUAUUCUGUCUUUAUUUUACAUAUUUGUUUUGGGGGUUUUUUUCAAAGUAAUUUUAUUGUCAGUUUUCUUAAUACAAACAUGUACACAUUUAAUAAAAUAAAUGAAUUAAUAAAUAAAUAAAAUGUGAAAAUAAAUAUAAUGAAUAUAGACGGUUUUUUUUUACACAGACUAUAAUGUGUAAAAACAAAACACAUACAAAAAGGCUUAUCAAUUAUGCCAAAACAGAUAUUUCCAUAAAAUGUUAUCUAAAUUGUACGGAAAAAAUCAUAAUUAUAUGUAAAUAAAUAAGGUGUGAUUUUACUUACCAAAAAAAGGCCUAAUAUAACAAAGGGAAAGUCGUUUUAUCUUUAUAGGUGCCAAAAUGGUCCCAUGCUAAUUAAAAGUGGUAUUAGGGCCACGGUGAAAAUAAUAAAAAAUGUGUGAUAUUUAGGGAAUAAAGCUGUAUUUCUAUGAAAAAAUUCAGAAUUUUACUCCAACUAAAGUUGCAAAUUUGGAGGAAUAAAGUUGUCAUUCUAGGACCAUAAAAAAAUGCAAUACUAGUAGAAUAAAGGGGAAUUUAAAGUCAAAAUUUUACAAGAAAAUUCAUUUUCUAUUCUGUCUUUAUUUUACAUAAUAUUUGUUUUGGGUUUUUUUUCAAAGUAAUUUUAUUGUCAGUUUUGUUAAUAUAAACAUGUACACAUAUAAUAAAAUAAAUGAAUUAAUAAAUAAAAUGUGAAAAUAAAAAUAAUGAAUAAAGAAGGUUUUUUUUACACAGACUAUAAUGUGUAAAAACAAAAUACAUACAAAAAGGCUUAACUUAUUAGUUGAAUGUCCACUUUCAUCAACCACAUAAAUUAUGCCAAAACAGAUGCUUCCAUAAAAUGUUACCUAAAUUGUACGGAAAAUAAUCAUAAUUGUAUGUAAAUAAUUAAGGUGUGAUUUUACUUGCCAAAAAAAGGCCUAAUAUAACCAAGGGAAAGUCACUUUAUCUUUAUUUUGCAUUAAUAAAGUGGUCAUUUUCUGGAAGCAAACAAAAAAAAUUAUAAAAAGUUAUACUUUUACCUUUGAAAAAAAAGGUAAUUUUUUUGCAGACCAAAAAAGUUCUAAUAUAACAAAUAUAGAGUCCUAAUUUUACAAACCAAAAGUUGUAAAUCCAUGAGAAAAAAAAGUUGUACUUUUACAUCGAUCACAUCAAUUAUGCCAAAACAGAUGCUUCCAUAAAAUGUUACCUAAAUUGUACGGAGAAAAUCAUAAUCGUAUGUAAAAAAUUAUGGUGUGAUUUUACUAACCAAAAAAAGGCCUAAUAUAACAAAGGGAAAGUCGCUUAUCUUUAUUUUGCAUUAAUAAAGUGGUAAUUUUUUGGACGCAAACAAAAAAAUUAUAAAAAGUUAUAGUUUUACUUUGAAAAAAAAAGGUAAUUUUUUUGCAUACCAAAACAGUUCUAAUAUAACAAAUAUAGAGUCCUAAUUCUACAAACCAAAAGUUGUAAAUCCAUGAGAAAAAAAAGUUGUACUUUUACAUCAAUCACAUCAAUUAUGCCAAAACAGAUGCUUCCAUAAAAUGUUACCUAAAUUGUACAGAGAAAAUCAUAAUGUACGUAAACAAUUAAGGUGUGAUUUUACCAACCAAAAAAAGGCCUAAUAUAACAAAGGGAAAGUCGCUUUAUCUUUAUUUUGCAUUAAUAAUUUUUUGGACGCAAACAAAAAACUUAUAACAAGUUAUAGUUUUACCUUUUUUAAAAAAGUUAAUUUUUUUUGCAUACCAAAAAAGUUCUAAUAUAACAAAUAUAGGGUCCUAAUUUUACAAACCAAAAGUUUUACUUUUACAUGGAUACAGCACCUUUUUUUUUGUUUUUUACCAAAGUAAAACAUGUAAUUAAAGCAAGAAUAAGAAAAACUUACAAUAUAGUAAAAAAAAAAAGUCAUUUUACUGGUAUGAAACCAAAAUGCUUAAGAAAUGUUACAUAUAAUUGGGCAUGUAAGCAUUUUAUUAAAGUUAAGUCAUACUUUUGCUGGAAAAACAUAAUUAUUUUGACCAAAUAAAAGUUUUAGACUUGCAAGUAAAAAAGAAUACCUGUCAUCAACUAAUAAAGUCGGUAGUUUCCUAUUUUUGAUGAUAAAACCUUUGAUUUCUUAAUUAGUUACUUAAUUUUACACAAGUAAAAUCACAGCAUUAUUUAAAUAUUUGACAUUCACUCGCAAAGAAAUUCAGCUUUAUUCUUGGAAAAUAAAAACUUGACACUAAUUACAUUGCAAGUUUUUUGUUAUUUUUUAUGUAACUUUGCUAAUUAUUCCAUCACGGUGUGGUCCAAGCAAAAUUGUGUUGAACCAAAUAUACAAAACCCAAAAUUAGUGAAGUUGUCACGUUGUGUAAAUGGUAAAUAAAAACAGAAUACAAUAAUUUGCAAAUCCUUUUCAACUUAUAUUCAAUAGAAUAGACUGCAAGGACAAACGAUUUAAAGUUUUCUGCAAAUAAUCAUUAACUUAGAAUUUAAUGGCAGCAAAAAGUUGGCACAGGGGCAUUUUUACCACUGUGUUACAUGGCCUUUCCUUUUAACAACACUCAAACUUUUAGGAACUGAGACCAAUUUUUGAUUUUUUUUUUAGGUGGAAUUCUUUCCCGUUCUUGCUUGAUGUACAGCUUAAGUUGUUCAACAGUCCGUUGUGGUAUUUUAGGCUUCAUAAUGCGCCACACAUGUUCAAUGGGAGACAGGUCUGGACUACAGGCAGGCCAGUCUAGUACUUGCACUAUUUUACUACGAAGCCACGCUGUUGUAACAUGUGGCAUUGUCUAGCUGAAAUAAGCAGGGGCGUCCAUGAUAACGUUGCUUGGAUGGCAGCAUAUGUUGCUCUAAAACCUGUAUGUACCUUUCAGCAUUAAAGGUGCCUUCACAGAUGUGUAAGUUACCCAUGCCUUGGGCACGAAUACACCACCACUCCAUCACACAUGCUUGCUUCUGAACUCGCACCUAUGGUUUAUGCGCAGUUUCCAAAAACAACUUGAAAUGUGGACUCGUCAGACCUAAGAACACUUUUACACUUUGCAUCAGUCCAUCUUAGAUGAGCUCAGGCCCAGCAAAGCCGGCGGCUUUUCCGGGUGUUGUUGAUAAAUGGCUUUGGCUUUGCGUGGUAGAGUUUUAACUUGCACUUACAGAUGUAGCGACGAACCGUAGUGACUGACAGUGGUUUUCUGAAGUUUCCCUGAGCCCAUGUGGUGAUAUCCUUUUACACACUGAUGUCGCUUUUUGAUGCGGUGCCAUCUGAGGGGUCGAAAGUCGGUAGUAUCAUCGCACACGUGCAGUGAUUUCUCCAGAUUCUCAGAACCUUCUGAUGAUGUUACGGCCCGUGGAUGGUGAAAUCCCUAAAUUCCUUUCCAUAGCUCGUUGUGAAAUGUUGUUCUUAAACUGUUAGAUGAUUUGGUCAUGCAUUUGUUCACAAAUUGGUGACCCUCGCCCCGUCCUUGUUUGUGAACGACUGAGCAUUUCAUGGACGCUGCUUUUAUACCCAAUCAUGGUUCAUAAUUAGCCUGUUCACCUGUGGGAUGUUCCAAACAAGUGUUUGAUAAGCAUUCCUCAACUUUUUCAGUCUUUUUUGCCACUUGUGCCAGCUUUUUUGAAACACGUUGCAGGCAUCAAUUUCCAAAUGAGCUUAAAAUAACAACGUUUACCAUUUGAAACAUUAAAUAUCUUGUCUUUGCAGUCUAUUCAAUUAAAUAUAGGCUGAAAAAGGAUUUGUAAAUCAUUGUAUUCUGUUUUUAUUUAGCAUUUAAACAACGUGCCAACUUCACCGGUUUUGGGGGUUUGUACUAAAGGCCCCUUUUUAAUGUGAAUGUAAAAUCUAUCAUUCAAUUUUGUACUAACUUCUUGUGUUUUUUUCUGCAUUCUUAUCCAAUGACGAGAUCUCUGUCAAUACAAUAUAAAAGAGUUCACAGCUAUGUACAGCGAAUGCCUAUAAUAGUACAAAAAAAUAAAGGUUUAACUUUAUACAUUAAAA